rnacentral:lncRNA from 1 species
CCACCCUGCUCCCACUCCUGAAAUUCCAUUUUCAUGUAAAGGCUUCACCACCCGCCUCCUCACUCUACUCAACCUUUUGUAAAACCUCUCUCAUCUCCAUUUCCAGUUAGUUUCCAAGUCCAGUCAAUUUUACAUGAUAUCCUACAUGGACUCGUUCACUGAGCUUAAUUAUUAUUAGCAAACAUUAACGCAUAUUGUGUUAUUUCUACAGAAAUCAGCAAAAGGUCCUGGGGUAUCCUCUGUGUGGAAAAUAACCAUGAUGCAUCUUCAGUGUUGUUGGCUGGAGGUGAAGUUCAGAGAUACGGUGUCUUUCCUGAGUUGUGCAGCUCACGCAUGGAGGGAUCAGGAUGGGAACUGAAGCCUGCAUGGCUCAAAGUCUUUGCUUUGAAGUGCUGCAAAUAUGGCUUCCUGAGGAGGACUGCCCUGGACUGCAAAUUUGUAUUACACAGACAAUACCUUUUCCCAGUGCCUUCUUCUGGACUUAUGUCUAUGUAUUUAGUAAAUAACUUAUGAGUUUGUUUUUAAAAAACCUAUUGAGGGCUGGGCAUGGUGGCUCAUGCCUGUAAUCCCAGCACUUUGGGAGGCCGAGGCGGGUGAUCACUUGAGGUCAGUAGUUCGAGACCCACCUGGACAACAUAGUGAAACCCUGUCUCUACUAAGAAUAUAAAAAUUAGCUGGGUAUGGUGGCACACGCCUGUAAUCCCAGCUACUCAGGAGGCUGAGGCAGGAGAAUCACUUGAAGCCAGGAGGCGGAGGUUGCAGUGAGCCGAGAUCGUGCCACUGCACUCCAGCCUGGGCGACAGAGUGACUCUGUCUCAAAAAAACAAAACAAAACAAAACAAAAAAGCAAAAAACAAAACAAAACAAAAAAAACUAUUGAAAUGUUUUACAGGGAGAGGAAUAGGAGAUUAAGGGGAAAUGCUACUUGCUGGAGGCCAGUGGAGAGGUAAAGAGGUUGGUUACAAUGGCUCAGCAACCUCACUUGGUUUGCCUGGCCUGCAAUUACUGGGAACAUAGAAUGAGGUAACUCAUCAUAGAGGACAACUGUUAAAUGGACAAGGAUGAGG